GAUUACACGCUCUGGCCGUUCUGGGUGGAUACGCACGUAGACCCCCCGUUCCACAAGGGCAGGUGAGGCGGCGCCGGGGAGGCCGGGGCCGGGCGGGGCCGGCCUCCGCUGAGCGCGCUCUCGCCCUCCAGCGACGGGGCCGUCCGGGAUAGGCGGGGCCAGACAGUCCGACUGUAUCCAGAGGUGCGUGACGUCCUGGAAAGGUUGCAGGGCCUUGAGGUACCCGUCGCGGCCGCUUCACGGUAAGGAGAGCGACUGAAAAAAAGCUGUCGGUCUCAUGCUGAGAGACGCAUGCAUGAGGAGGCAUCUCGUGUAACCCCUUGGCUACAAAAACUUUGGCGGUGCAGAUUUGCACGUAUUUGCAUAUUUUUCUAAUUGUACCCUUUCCUGUGCCUUUUAUUUAUUAAACCUUGACUGGCUUAGCGCCGCCUGUGUCAGACGGGAAGCCUAGGGAAUCGAAUAAGGACCGAGGGUGCCUACUUAUCCUGGAAAAACAGCAAGUUGAUUUCCCCUUGGUUAAACAUAACUUGGCUUGCAGCCCCUGGCCCUGCUGAUCCCAUCUAUUAUUACACCUUUUUGCAGAACAGGGGAGAUUGAAGGGGCCAACCAGCUACUGGAGCUCUUUGACCUUGACAGAUACUUUGUUCAUCGGGAAAUCUACCCAGGCAGCAAGGUCACCCACUUUGAGAGGUAUGCAGAGAUAAGGUAGAAGCUGGGAGGCCAGAGAGGCUGCCGGAGCUAAGAAGCCAGUGUGGUCACCCCCUGCCCCGCCUUGCACAGGUUGCAGCAGAAGACAGGAGUUGUCUUCUCCCAGAUGAUCUUCUUUGAUGACGAGAAGCGGAAUAUCCUAGACGUCAGCAAACUGGGUACAGAGUGGUGAGAUUAGCCUUUUGGGGAAUGAGGAGAAAGUUCCUAGGAGCGGUUAGAUAGAUAGGUCCAGGAUGGGUAGCUUGCAUGCAAUUUUUGGGUGCACCCAAAAAAGGUGAGAGUAACAACAGGCCUGAUGAAAUGUGGCUUCUUUUCUUUCUAGGAGUUACCUGCAUUCAUGUCCAGAAUGGAAUGAAUCUUCAAACCCUAAGUCAGGGACUGGAGACAUUUGCAAAGGCCCAAGCUGGGCCCUGAGGUCCAGUCCUGUGGAUGAGCCUCAUUUGAAGCAUAAAACUGAAAGGAAAUCAUGAAGGCAUUUUCAGGUGUAUUUGUAAAUUAUUAAAGUAUGUUUGUGUGUGACAGAAAUCUUCCGGCUGGUUUUUGUUUUGCUAGCUUUGUAGCCGGCAUUGGCUUUUCGGAGGUGCCAAGACCAGAGCGAAUGGAAUUAGACUUCAUCCGGCUCUGCCAAAGAAACUUGUGGCACACCCGACUGUGGCCCCCUUGUGCUCACACCAUCCGCGCCCCAAUUCCUGAACUCUGUCAAGGGCCGGGAGAACUCUUCCACUGGCCCCAAGAAGUGGGAUGUAAGACCCUGCACAUUCCCUUUCAGGAACACAAAUACUGUGCUUUUUGGGGGGGUGGGAGUGGGGCGGCCUUUUUAAAGAAUCAAAAACGGAGCGGCCGCUUUAAGAGGAGCGAAUGGGUUGGGGGCUGGUGGCUCGGGUCACGUGGCAGAAGUGGCCUCGUUGGCUCACGUUGAUGAUGUCGCCGCGGUGCCCCAUGGAGGGAUUGGCCCAGGCCGGUCUCUGAGCGAUGAGACCGCACCCUCCCGGGAGCCAGGCGGAAGUUGCAAGAAGCCGCGGAGAGAAGGCAGGAGAGGCAAGGGUGGUGGAGAUGAGUGGUCUCGGCAGACUCUUCGGGAGGGGUGAGCCCGGGUGAGCCCGGUGGGCUGCUGGUGCUGGCCAAGGGAGUGUGGGGAAGGCCAUGGCCCCCGGCUGUCGCGAAGACCCCGUCCAGGGCCCAGGCCUCCUCACGUGCCAGGAGGCCCCGCCUUGUCGGGCUGUUUGGCUCUGGCUGUCUUCCUUCCCCCGCCCCAGGGAGAAGAGCUCGGGGUUGGGCCGGAACGUGAAUGGAGGGAACCCACUGUUUAGGCUGGGGAGUUGAGUUUCCGACUGUCAUCAUCUAGUCCUUUCCAAAACACUGGUUCUUCCUCUAUGCUGGCCAAGGGGGGAAUCCGAGGUGAUGAAAAAAGAUUGUCUGCUUAAAACUCCCAUCUGGUGGGGGGAGACCAGCAAAAACUGGUAAUAGUGUAGUGUGGGAACUCCAUGAUGGAGAUGUUCCUAAAAACUAGGGGGAGCACAGAAGAGGCGUGAGGGGUUGUUAUCCAGAGGGCUAAGGUAUGCCAGGUGGAGAAUUGAGGUAUUCCAGGGGGGAGGUAACUGUGUGCAAAACAGGCAGGAACGAGUAUGGUAGUAAUACUUAGGGGAAAGAGGAGUUCUGGCUGGUGGGUGUGUGCGUGUGCGUGGGUGUGCGCGCGCGCGCACAUGCCCACGCCAGCUGAAGAAGAGGAAAGUAGAAGUGUGGAUGGAGAGGUGAACAAGGGCCAGGUCAAGAAGGGCCUUGUAUGUCUCAUUAAAGUUUUAGAUUUUAUCUUGCAGGCAAUGGAGAGUGUGAAAGGAUUUUAAGCAGGCAAGGGCCUGCCUUAUUAAUUUUAAUUACUGUCAGAAGUGCAGAAGAUGAAGGGGAAAAUGGAGAUCAGAUUUUUUUUUUUUUCUCUACCCCCUGUACUUCAUUCAGUUUGAGGGUGUGGAGUUAGGACCUUGGGCAUCUCCUAGGACAGCAAGUGGAACAGCGAUUAUAAAAAGUGACCAAACUCCAGUGGGGAUGUGCUCAUAGGAGGGCCAUGCAUAUGUGGCAGCAGGGGGUAUAUGGGAACUUUGUAUCUUCCACUCAGAUUUGCUGUGAAUCUAAAACUUCUCCGGCGCGGGGGUUGGGGGGGAAGCCUGGGAAUGACUUGAAAGGCAAUUUGUUUUUUGUUUUUUGUUUUUUUGUUUUUUUUGUUUUUUAACGUUUAUUUAUUUUUGAGACAGAGAGAGACAGCAUGAAUGGGGGAGGGUCAGAGAGAGGGAGACACAGAAUCUGAAACAGGCUCCAGGCUCUGAGCUGUCAGCACAGAGCCUGACGUGGGACUUGAACUCACGGACCGCGAGAUCAUGACCUGAGCCGAAGUCGGCCACUUAACCGACUGAGCUACCCAGGCGCCCCGAAAGGCAAUUUGAAAUAGCAAAGAAUACUGGAUUUGGAAGUCAUACUGCCACAUUUCAAUUCCUGCUCAAUUCUCUCUAGCUGUGAUUUUAAACAAAUGAUUAUUUAACACAUAUAUGCCUGUUUUUCACAUUUGUAAAAUGAAGAUAGUAUAUUCAUUAUAGAGAGUCAUUUUGGGAUUAAGAGUAAGACAGGUGCCUAGCACACACUCUGCACUCAGUGAUUGGUGGCUAAUAUAUUUCCUCCACACAAUAUGGGCCUGCUUGAUUGCACUCCAGGGAAGAAAGAGAAGGGGCCAACCCCUGAAGAGGCAAUACAGAAACUGAAGGAGACAGAGAAGAUAUUGAUCAAGAAACAAGAGUUUCUGGAGCAGAAGAUUCAACAGGAGCUACAAAUGGCCAAGAAGCAUGGGACCAAGAAUAAGAGAGGUAAUGGGGGAGAGGUGCCAACUGGGCAGGCCCAGGUGGGAAGCAUAAGGGCUUCUGGCUCUGAUCCUCAGGGUGUGGGCUGGGUCAGCUGCCCUACAGGCUUUGCGGAGGAAGAAAAGAUUCGAACAGCAGCUGGCACAAACCGAUGGGACAUUAUCUACCCUGGAGUUUCAGCGUGAGGCCAUUGAGAAUGCCACCACCAAUGCAGAAGUGCUUCGGACCAUGGAGCUUGCUGCCCAAGGCAUGAAGAAGGCCUACCAGGACAUGUGGGUACGGGGGGAGGGAAGCAGGGGGCCCAGGCACUGGGGAAGGUAGCUUGGUAUUUUCUCUUGAAUCUUAAAACCUCUCAGAAUGUAAAUUUAUAGAUGUCCGUGACAGCUAGACCUCUGUCAGUCUCCUUGCUUCUUGGAAGAUCUCUUUGCUGGCUGAAGCAUUCUAGGGAGGAAAGAGGAUUUUCCUAAUUAAAAACAAUUCUUUUUUAAUGUUUAUUUAUUUUUGAGAGAAAGAAACAGUGUGAGUGGGAGAGGGGCAGAGAGAGAAGGAGACACAGAAUCGGAAGCAGGCUCCAGGCUCCGAGCUGUCAGCACAGAGCCCGACGCAGGGCUCAAACUCAAAAGCAGUAAGAUCAUGACCUGAGCUGAAGUCAGACACUCAACUGACUGAGCCAUCCGGGUGCUCCUUUUUUUUUUUUUUUUUUUAAUGUUUAUUUAUUUUUGAGAGAAAGAAAGAGUGUGAGUUGGAGAAGGGCAGAGAGAGAAGAAGGGAUUUUCCUAAUUUUUAAAGAUCCUUCAGGAAGAGGAGUACAGCCUAUUCUCCCCAAAGUGGCUUCUUGCCAAUUCUCAGCCCAGACUUGCUUCCACAUAAUUUCCCAGGGAUCUCUUCUGAUAGCCAUGGAUUUAUCAGUCUGAGGCCACAGACAGGAGGGUUUUCAUCCAUGCAAGAUGGGAAAGUCAGGAGUGUUGUUGCCUGAUUUCAUAGCUAUAUAUCUUGUUCUCAGGGACAUUGACAAGGUGGAUGAACUGAUGGCCGACAUUACAGAACAACAGGAGGUGGCCCAGCAGAUCUCAGAUGCCAUUUCUCGGCCUGUGGGCUUUGAUGUGGAUGAGGUGAUUGGAGCAAGGGGUCUGGGAAUAUUGGAGAAAGCAUGAGACUAGCCGGAAGGAAUGCCCAAGAGAAUCGUGGGGCAAAUUUGGGAGGGGGGAUUCAAAAAUGGUAUGUUUUUGGAAGUAGACAUUUCCUUUCUUCAUUUUUAACAGUCUUCUUGUCCCAUGUCCAGGAUGAACUGUUGGAGGAGCUAGAGAAGCUGGAGCAGGAGGAAUUGGCCCGGGAGUUGUUACAUGUAGGCGACAAGGAGGAAGAACCCCCCAUCAAACUGCCCGGUGUACCUUCCACACAUCUACCUGAAGAGCCAGGUACUCAGGGUUAUUCUAUUGUCUCAAGGACUUGAGAGGGUGGGAUAGAUAGGGGGAAAGAUUAUAUUCUUCUUACAUCCUGCCUCAAAGGAGCCAGGCAGAGAGGGCUGCUGCUACAGUUGCACAGGUUGUUGACUGCAUAAGGGUACCUGGCUGAGGGGGAAUGAAGACUAAGUCCAGCCUCUGCCUCACUCAGCAAGCUGUGUACCCUGGUGUGGGGCUGCAAGUGCUGGGAGAAAGAAGCACAUCUUCCCAAUUUGUACAGAGCUGCUCUGGGAAUUUGCAGCAGCCCAGCAAGCAGAAGGACCACUCCUUUACGUUCUUUGCUGAGGGAGAGAUGUUUCAGCAGACUCUCAGUGUCACAGCAGGGGAUUAUUGACGUUGCCAAAGCCCUAAUACUUCUUUCUUUCUCCGGGUAUCGUUGUCCCCCAAGCUCCCAAAGCGGAUGAAGAUGAAGAAGCACUAAAGCAGUUGGCUGAGUGGGUGUCCUGAUGUGUCUGGGCUUGUUUUCCUGGCGCUGACUUCAUUGGUCUCUUUUCCUUAAGUGCCAAGUGCUAAGCAAAGGAACGUAGCCUUUUGGGGGGGUCCUGCUGAGGGUGAUAGUGACCCUGCCUGAAAAAGGGUUGUUGCCCUCCCCUCCCUGGCUCAACUCUGAAAGAGAAUGUUGGUGCAAGAGGAGCCCCUUGGCUUCCUUCUCUUUGAUAACAGUUACAGUGC
rnacentral:lncRNA from 1 species